AACCAUCCUCCCAUUACCACUGGUACCACAAGCCACUAAACCAUGUCUUGUAGCUCCUCAUCCAGACAAUCAAGAAGAAACAAGACAGUCAACAAGAAACCAGAGCAGAAGAACAGAGGCAAUGAAGGUGUGACAAGACUAAGACCAAGAUGGAGAAAGACAAAACCAGAGUUUUGGAGUUCCUUAGGACACCACAUCCUCACCUUAGGACCCAGUAGAAGAAACUAGAAAAACACCACUUCAACUUGUAAUUGGAUACAAGGUAAAUGUUUACUGUGCUUACCUACCUUGUUGGUCAAAGGCUUGCAGGCUGAGGACUUCCUAACCCUGCAAGCAAUUGACUGUUCUGUCAUGUCUGCAGUCCUUCUCUGCCUGAAAAUUUUUCUAUUGAUCGUGACUAUGGAUUAAGUCUUAGAGGGUACUGCAAUUGCUUCAUCCCUUAUCCAUCCCACUUAAAUUUUUGUUUGAUGUUUAUGCACUGUUCUAAGUCUUUGUUAAUGUGCUCAAAGUGGCUGCAGAUUUGUGGCACGCAAUACCUUUUGAAAACAACAACAACAACAAAGAAAAUAUAACACAUUCUCUUCCGUGUACAAGAUACAUAUAUUGCAUUGUGUUGACUGUGCUUUAGGUUACUACAGUGCUAGUUAUUGACUUUCAUUUAACAUUGCUGUGAAAAGAUAGGUGCAAAAUAACUCUAGUCUUGGACAUAAAGCAACUUACACUUAUCUCUUUCUUGAAACCAAGGCAGAAGCCCAGAUCUGCCAAUACUGGCUGAAUUUUGUAAACUUCAGUUCUGAAUAUGCAUGAAAGCUUUGGGGCCAAGGCCCUUGUGUGUCCUAUUUUGUGGAGACAUAGAGACAAUGUGGGAAGAAAAUAGCUGUUAUUCAUAUGGUGCAUUUUUCUCAAUAAAAGAUGUCAUAAAGAUUUUUAGCACACGGACAAAAUGUGAAGCCUUGGCAGCAGGAUUAAGCAUAUUGGUUCUGCAAGUCUGUUUGGGUGCUGAUCCAGGUAGGAUGGAUUUCUUCAAUAGACCAGAAAAGCUCACUUGUGGCUGUUAAAGUACUGAGCUGUCAAAAAUCCAUGUUUUCAAUUCCUAAGUCUGUUCAAACAGGUAAACAGCCCAUUGUAGCCCCUUCUCCUCCAUGAACACUCACAUCGCUUACCAAAAUAUGAAUAGUAUUGAUGAGUGAGACUGUAACAGGCUUUACAAACCACACUGCCUUAUAUGCAGGAAAAACACUUUAAGAAAGGACAAGAGUUAUUUCCCAAUCCAAAGUGUUUACAUGAUAGAUGCUAAUCUAAUCUGUCUAGACCAUAACGCCCGUAACAGAGAAAAAACUGGCAAGUGAACUCCCAGAUAAGUCUCUGUACCAGGUAUGGCUUAAAGGGACAACUCGAGUGGACUCUGGCUGCUCCCUGCCAGAAGCAGAGAGCCCUCUCUGAGAAAGUGGCCAGUGAAUUCUCAUUACUUCUUUGCCUUCCUUUUGGUUGAAUGUUAAUCCUCAUUAACAACAGUCCCUUGACGGUCCUGGAAGCCAAGAAUUUUCCACGCGAUGGAGCCUUCUCUCUGUUCCCUGCUGGUGGACUUUGACCCCACUAUGAAGUGAUCGCUUCUAGGAAGGAGACAGCAGCUGAGGUUCUGCUCCUGCCUGACCCUUCUGCUCACACCACCUGCAGGGCUAAAGGCAGUGUCACAAGAGUUUUAUGGAGACCUCUGACAUCUUUACACCAUAGGCUGCAAAGCACCUGACAACCUGUUGUGGUCAUUACUAGAGUGUGCCUAGACCAAUUGAGCACCUCUAGAGAAGCACUUAGCAUUUUUAUUUUCCACUGGUCACUGCUGGAACAGCAUUUAGGGCUAGGUUUGGCUGUGGUCCAUCCCAGAGCCACCACUGGUAGCUUAGCUGCUUUUCCUUGUGCCUCAGUGACAUACAACUAACUGACAACAUAUUCAAAAGAUGAAACCUGUCUCGAUUUUAAGACUUCAGAGGAGUCAUCAGUUUUUGUUCCCUUGAUGAACUGCUUUCUCUAUUUAAAAAACAAACAAAACCAACCAAACAAAAAAGCAUCUUGUGUCACAUCUGCAUUGAAGGAGAUAUUUUCAUUUUAAAGCUAUUGAAGCUAUUGUUACUUUAAAGGAGAACUUGACUGCUUCUUUAUAAAAAACAAGACAAUGAUGAGGUACACAUUUUUUACCUUGAUAUCCCAUUAUCUAUCUGAUAAGAUAUGACAAAAAUGUUUUGUUCAGUGACCCUGCAGCCCAUACACAGGCGCAGUAAAUAAAUCUGUAUACAGUAAAGAAAUCAAUGGCAGCCUUUCCUUUGAAUUCACUUGCAAAGGACCUCAGCAUUUUAGACCAUAGAGUUUUCUGACCUCAGCAUUUUAAAUCAUAGAGUUUUCUCUUUGAGUCGAAGUGUAGUACUACAUACUUGCUUAGUCUUCAUGAAUACUUGGCUCUGGCUUCACUAAAUGUUAAUUUGUAUGAGAUAACUGUGGCUUUAAAGAGACAGCAUUGGUUCUCCACUCUCAUUUCCUUCCAUCUGAAAACAAUCCCAGCUAAGAGUUUUGGAGACCAUCAUCGACCUCCCUGUUCUGACAGGGAUACACUCAUUUCUAGGCGAAUACAAGAAAAAUAAAGAUGUUAGUCAUACGUUAUUGUGUUCACACAAGUGGCACUUCAAGUUAAAGAAUACAUUCUAAAUAUGUUAUUGUUCAGGUCGUGUACAUGUUUAACUUCCCAGUGGAAAGCAUACCUUAAUUAGCCAGCUGUAAUCCAAAUUACAGUUUCUGAUUCGUUAAAGCUGUUAAAAUACCUUAAAUCAGCUGCCUGUCUAUGUCUGAAAUAACAAUGAAAAUAACUGCAUUUGCAAAAAUUAUCUGAAUGCAAGCAGGCUAUAAAUAGAGAGGAGGUGGAUUGGACAGUCUGCAGAUCUGAGUUGGAAUAAGAACAUCAUAGUUAAGCCAAAAACAUGACAACCAAUAUUUUCUGUUAUAAAAACAUUUGAGAUUAAUUUAGUUGUUUUUUUUUUGUUUUUUUUUUUUUUUUUUUUUUAAUGAAAGCUGUCUGAGAUUGAAAUUGAGAGCAAAGUUCUCUGUUUAUUUACGAGCCAGCACUGAUACCUGAAGCAUAAAGCAAGGCACUUUCAGAGCAAUGCCAGCAAACUUUUGACUAUAUUGGAAAAUCCUUCUUGCCAUGGGACAAGCACGGCGGUGUACUCGCGUUCUUUCAGCAUAACCCCCACCUUGAUAACACUUGUCAUCUGAGCAGAUUGCAUGACAGGUCCGUGAAGUGGAUUACUACUGUCCACUAGAGGCUGUAAUGAGACCAACAAUGUCAUUUUUUGACAAAUUGAAGUCUUAGACUGUAAUGAUCGAUAAUUGUAAAAUUACUGUUCACAUGCAGUGCGUCAUCAAUCACUGGAUUUCCCUGAACUUGGAUGUUAAAAAAAAAAAAAUCCAACUUAUGUUACCUCUUAUUUUCCCAUUUUUUACAAAUACUAAUUACAUAAAGCGUGCAUGUUGAAGGCACGACAUCAGUGUACUGAAAGACAGUUUCUCCUAGACAACGUGUCUCCUGCACGUCAAACUGAUGACUGUCUUUUGGUCAAGAACAUGUUCAACGGGGAGUCUGACCAGUUUCAGCAUGUUACUGGCAGGAGGCACUGCUCGAGUGGGUUCCUGUGUCCAACUCACACCGUGGUGCUGGAGCCCUGAUCUGCACGUACUGCACUGCCACAGUGCCUCUCUCCAUUCCUAGUGUCAGAACUGUCCGGGUCUGCAAUUGUGUCUAUUUUCUGUAGCAAAUGACUUUCACCUCUGGCAUAGUUCUGCACGUCUGGGUCAAUAGACUGCACUGCCUUGAUAGACAAUGAGGGACCUUUGUCCUGGCCGUGGCAGCACAUGAGAUCUUGCUCAGGUGCUGCUUCCCACCCUCGGUGUCCCCACCGUGCUGUGUGCUGCUCGCUGUCGGGGGAACGCUUUGAGCUCUGCCAUAGGCCCUCAAAAGAGGAACUGCAGAGGUAUAAUGGCAUCUUGUGAUGUGGAAGCGCAUCCUGCGCACCAGGCAAUGCCAGCAAAGGCACCGUCCCCUUAUCUCUGUUAUGUAACCACCAUCAAAACGGAGGUGAGUUUGUGAACCCGAUGUGGUUGCCUGCAAUUAUGGCACUUCCCCAGGACAUGGGCAGAGGCUGCCUUGCUGGGAAAAAAUACCGCUUUGGUUUACAAUUGACUUACGCUCUUCCAACUUUGAAGUAGAAACAUGGACAAAGAUUUAAAAGCCAGAGGCUGGCUCAUGGCAAAAAGUGUGGGUCCUGCGGCAAACACCAUGGCCACAGGACGGAGGAACACACAAGCCUCUUACACGAGCCUGCCGCAGAAGGGAAAGUUGCCCAAAGCUUGCUUCAGCAUGAAUGUGGCUUCUCUUCCACGGCGUGUGCCACACCUCUUGGCAAGGUGGAGGUUUGAGAAGGAAAGAUUCCUUUCUCCUGAGGUAACAGGAGUACAACUGGAAUAAAAAAGGUGGCAGGAGGGAGUACGCCGCGUCUGCAGAACAGAAUGCAGAGGAUGGGGUGGCAGCUUCUGCGGGGCCUUCACUUGAUUUCCAGCUGUCUCCAGCCUCUGCCUCUCUCCUAUGGUUCCUUUCAUUAAAUCAAUGAACCUUGCAUUAGCUGGGUGAGGAUAUUUUUGCUGUCUGCCACAUGGCCAUAGAUGCACCAUCUCAUUGCUGAGUGGCACGUUCGUCCAGACAUCCGGGCCUGCUGCUGUCCCCAGAGUGCUCUGAAACAGGCAAUCACUUUGGAUUAUGUAGCAAACCUGAUCUGGAGAGGUAGAAGUUGCAUUGUUACAAUAUCCUUAUGCUCAUAAAGCCAGUCUAUAUGACGAUACCAGCUCUCAGUCAAGAGCUGUGCAGAUUAGCACAUUCUCUAGGAAAUACGGAGGAUGAGUACAGUCAUUCAUAGAAGGGACUGCUUUGCUGAGCUGCAUACUGACAGAGCCCUAGGGUCUUUUGCAUCCAGACUAAUGCUAGUUCCAAUGCUAAAACACAGUAGUACUACCUGUGGACACACACAUGACACAUCUGCACUACAGACAUCUGCUUGGAGCUCACAGCUGUGCUGGGGUGGAUUGGAAGAGGCUCAGCCAACAGCCUGCUCUGGGCAGCCACAGCACAGGGAGCGUGCAGGGCGCUCUCGGAGCCCUUCUGGGGUGAGACCCAGCCGUGGGGGUUUAUGCAGCAUUUCGUGCGGUGACUUUGGGAUGGGGAGAGGCUUUCUCGGCGUCGUGCCUCCCUUCUUAAUGCCGAAGCAGAGCGAGCGGUUCCCUGUGCGGCAGUCGGGUUGCCAGCAAGCAGAGCAGACGCUGUCCUGUGGCUGUGUUCCUCCCAUUCAUUUAUUCUGGGAGAGGCGGGCAGUGGUCUGCGCGCAGCCGGGAGAGACGAGCGAGGAUCCUGCCGGAGCGUGUGCGAGGAGCGCAGCGGGAGCGAGUACCCAAACAUGCGUGGUGCAGCCCUGCCUGCCUCGUAGUGCGGCGACGGAAUGAGUCAGAGCCUCUUUGGUCUGAAUGAAGUGGAAGGUACUCUCUACAAAGCGACUCGAGCAUAUGCCAAGGAUCCGGAAAAAUAAAACUAAUUCAGAAAACGGGAGUGGGAUGCGGGCUCCUGUUCUACAAAGCUUCACAGCUCUCCACGGCAAAGCGCAAUAUGGCAUCUUAAAUAAAAUCACCCCUCCCCUGACUCUCACGGCGCUGCCUCCGAGCCGUCCCCGGCUCCCUGGCGCGCGUUUAUUUCCUCCCUUAGCGACAGCCCGGCCUCGGCCGGCGCUCCCGCAUCCCGCACGGCCAGCCCGCUCUCCUCUCCCCGCUCGGCAGCGCGCCGCUCCCGGUGCCCGCCGGUGCGGCUCCCGGCGCUGCGGGCGUCGGGGCGAGGAGCGGCC